rnacentral:rRNA from 1 species
AUCGAACGCUGGCGGCAGGCCUAACACAUGCAAGUCGAACGAGUGGCGGACGGGUGAGUAAUGUCUGGGAAACUGCCUGAUGGAGGGGGAUAACUACUGGAAACGGUAGCUAAUACCGCAUACCAUCAGAUGUGCCCCGAGGGGAUUAGCUUGUUGGUGGGGUAACGGCUCACCAAGGCGACGAUCCCUAGCUGGUCUGAGAGGAUGACCAGCCAAACUGGAACUGGGACACAGUCCAGACGCGUACGGGAGGCAGCAGUGGGGAAUAUUGGACAAUGGGCGAAAGCCUGAUCCAGCCAUGCCGCGUGUGUGAAGAAGGUCUUCGGAGUGUAAAGCACUUUAAGUUGGGAGGCGUUACCAACAGAAUAAGCACCGGCUAACUUCGUGCCAGCAGCCGCGGUAAUAC